rnacentral:other from 1 species
GGAUCCCUGCGGUGUGCGUAAAAGAGAUUUAUAGUAUUUAACCAACGCUUCUAAUACGGAGUCCAUGCUCUUUUUGUGGCUGUAGACCAUGACAUAGUUAUCAAGGGAACAAUAAGCAAGAAGGAUGGAAUUAUCCACCCUGUACAGACAGGUUAGAAUCAUUUUCUCUUAUACGGCACGGUGGGGUAUUU